rnacentral:lncRNA from 1 species
AUGAAUAUUUAAUGUCUUCUUGUUGACUGAAUGGCCAGAAGAUUGGAACUUUAUUAACCCUCUUUCCCAAAUGCAGGCCUGGAGUCUUUGUCCUUGAGAUUUGACAGCUGUCUCUAGGUGUUCCACUUUUAUUCUUCACUCUCAAUCUACUAGAUUAUUCUUGGAUGGUUGGUUGCCAGCUGUUGGCAUGUGAUUGCUGAUGAGGUAGAGGUUUGGGAUUUAAAUCUAGGGUACAGCCUUAGCCUGGUUAGAGAGAAACCAUGCAGCCCCAAACUGUACCAUUAGUUGAAUUAGGGUGAAUGAGUAUCUCUGGGUACCAAGGGACCAUGUGAGAGAGUGUAGAUAUGUUUAGGGCAAAUGUUUAGUAUAAUUAGAGGAGGAAGAUUCAUUGUACAUUUCCUGGUGGGAUAGUAAUGUCAUUUUUCAUUUUCGUGUUUGGGAUAUAUUUUAACUUAUGAUUAGAUUUGGUUAGGUAUUUGGUAUUUAUUCAAGUGGUACAGGCUUCUUUGGUGUCCAAAAAUGAAUUUUUGUUGUUUUCAUUUUGGAGUCAGAUAGUCUUAGGGCUUCUUGCUCUACAUCUGAGUUUUUUUCAUUGGGGCAUAUAUUUAUUAUAUCACCCCCACAGUGCCUGGCACAGUGUCUUUAUCAUAGACGGUACCUAAGUUUGGGACCGAAAAAGUUUCUAGCCUUUCUGCCUUUCCCUUUGACCAUUCUUUCUUCAGAUAACUGUUAGCCACUUUUUUCUUUAAAAUAUUUCCUCGAGCUUUUAGUUCAUCUCAGCCUUCUCCCUUCAUCCCCACUAUCAUGACAUUAUCUCCUGCCCAUAAUGUCCCUGUGUAUACUAUUUUGGUCUCUUCAUUAUAUCACGUCUCCUUUGAUAUACUGAAGUUUGACCUUGUCUUCAUGGCAUAGCAACUUUUAUCUGAAGAGUAAUGGGAGGUACAUGGCUGGGUAUGCAUAUACACCACAGGCCAUGUUCCAGUCUUUGACAGAUGGCCCUUCUUCCCAAGGGUUUGCAUCUAUUAUUUUCUGCUUAUGAAAAGGAGGUUCUCCUGCAGGUCCUCUUUUUACUUGUAAAAUUUGUGCAGCACUGAAAGAAAAAAAAACAAAAACAAAAACCUAAGAUCUGGGCACAGGUUGAAUAACCUUGGCCAUAAAGUAACAGUGAAAUACAUAACCUAGAUAGAGUACUUAAGUCUUCUUAGAAUUCUGUUCAGAACUGGGCCACAUCUACACAAACAGGGAGGGCAAGCUAGUGAGUCCAAUUUGUACCUGCCUGUGAGGUGCUGUUUGUUUAUGACAUUGAUCAGACCUAGAGCCUUCCAGAGGGAACCCAAGGGAGAUUUGUUUCAGAGAUUGUUCCAAUUCCUGCUGGGCUCAGAGGAAGAGAGAGGAAAGCCUAUCCCCAAGCUGUGCAUGGGGAUGCUGGGAGGCUUAAUUAGCCUUUUAACCCUAAGUUAUUGUGUCUUAAAGGAAAGGAAGUUUAUUACUAAUUUGUUAUUAAUUACCUAAAGAGAAAAGUAAGCUAGAUAAUUUUUCAAAUUUGUACUUUGACGUAAGAUUUUUUUUUCUUUAUUAUUUAUUUAUUUGCCUUUUCUAGGGCCGCUCCCACGUCAUAUGGAGGUUCGCAGGCUAGGGUUCUAAUCAGGGCUGUAUCUGCCAGCCUAUACCACAGCCACAGCAACAUGGGAUCCGAGCCGCGUCUGCAACCUACACCACAGCUCACGGCAACGCUGGAUGACAUAAGAUAUUUUUGUACUCAAGUGUUUAAACCUUUGGAGAACCAGGAAUAGAUGAUUUUAUUCUCUGUUAACUGUCUUUCAGAAGGUUAUUUUUAACUUCUAAAUACUUGAUUAUAUUUUUCCUAAAGACAUUUUCUUAUAUAACCACCGAACAGUUCUCAAAAUCAGAAAAUAAUAAUUGAUACAAUACUGUUAGCCAAUCCAUAGUCCAUAUUCAGGUGUAUCAGCUAUUGUCCUCAGCACUGGCUUUUAUAGCUGUUAUCUUCCCCAGGUCCAGGAUCUAAUCAGGAUCCCGCAUUGAAUUUAUUUAUUUUUAUUAUUUUUUUAUUAUAGUUGAUUUACAAUGUUUUGUCAAUUUCUGCUGUACAGCACAGUGACCCAGUUAUACAUGUAUGUACAUUCUUUUUCUCACAUUAUCUUCCAUCACAAAUGAUUAGAUAUAGUUCCCUGUGCUAUACAGCAGGAUAUUAUUGGUUAUCCACUCCAGAUGCUAUAGUUUGCAUCUACUAACCUCAAACCACAUUGAAUUCAGUCUCCUCUAAUCUAAAAUAGUUCUUAGAGAAUUACUUUACAUUUAUGGUAUAAAAAAAAAAAGAUUUUGGGGAUUGUGUUUGAACGGAACUCCUUAAUGUAAUUCACUUCUUUCACAUUUUAGCAGCUAUUAAUAGGUUUGGUCAUCUAAGGGGGUGUGUUAGCUAAGGGAGGGGCAGUAUCUAAUAGAUGAUGGUUAGACUCUAUAUGUAUUUUGAAUUGCUUAGAUCACUGAAUGAUCCUUCUUGGUUCUGCUGGUUUUUUUUUUUUUUUUUUUGUCUAAUUCCGUAAUCAUUUUUUAUUAUCCACUGAAAAUAUGGAAAGCAGUGUUGGAAACAGAUUUGGUUUAUCUGUGGUUGUUUUCUUCUUUUGUGAUUUAAGGGGGUGAACCCACUAUGGAUUCCCACUUAACAAAUCCAUAUGUCAUUUAAUUACUAAUAUAAGUCAGCUGGAAAUGUGACAUUUAGUAUUUUAAAGGUACAGGUACAGAGUUCCCUUGUGACGCAGCAGAUUAAAGAUCCGGUAUUGUCACAGCAGUUGCUCAGGUCAUAGCUGUGUCAUAGUUUCAGUCCCUGGCCUGAAAACUUCCCCAUGCCAUAGGAACAACAAAAAAAAAAAAAAAAA